rnacentral:rRNA from 1 species
AUGGUUUCUCCUUCUCCUACUCGUACCAGCCGUAACAAGAGGGGCGCGUGGCCGUUCCUCGCCGUGCUGCUGCUGCUGGUCCUGCUCCGCUGCUCGCCGUGCCAAGGCCGCAAGCUGCUGCUGGAGGAGCAGGGCGGCAAGGUGAUGCACUUCGAAGGCGGCCUGGUGCUCAGGGUGUCGCCGAGCCACGACGGCGAGGCGGCACCGGCGGCGCCGAGGGGGUUCUCGAGGGCCGCGCGGUCCAUGCGGGGUGGCCUUGUAGGCAUGGCCUCCGAGGCUGCUGGCACCUCCAUCAUUGUCGCCGUUGCCGUUCGAGCCAUCGUCCUCAUCCUUCUAGCGAACGAAAGGCCCGCCAGAAAUCACGGCAGCUUGAUCGGCGGGGAGCGUGCAGUAGCCCUCCGCUGCCUACGCAUAGCAUUGGCCUUCUCCAAUCAGAUUCUGGCUUCCCUUUCGCUCUUCGCCGUCCUUCCAGAAAGCCGUAACAAGAGGGGCGCGUGGGCGUUCCUCGCCGUGCUGCUGCUGCUGCUGGUCCUGCUCCGCUGCUCGCCGUGCCAAGCGCGCAAGCUGCCGGUGGCAGAUCAGGGCCAGGGCGGCAAGGUGAUGCACUUCGAGGGCGGCCUGGUGCUCAAACUGUCGCCGAGCCCCCAUGGCGGCAACGACGAUGGCGGCGAGGUGGCGGCGGCGGCGCCGAGGGGGUUCUCGAGGGCCGCGCGGUCCAUGCGGUCCGUGCCCAGCCCCGGCGUCGGGCAUUAG